UUACGGCCACAUCACGCUGAAACAACAUUUCUCGUGCGAUCACCGAAGUUAAGCAACGUCGAGCCUGGUCAGUACCUAAAUGGGUGACCGCUUGGAAAUACAAUGUGCUGCAAG